rnacentral:rRNA from 1 species
GGACGUGCUAAUCUGCGAUAAGCGUCGGUAAGGUGAUAUGAACCGUUAUAACCGGCGAUUUCCGAAUGGGGAAACCCAGUGUGUUUCGACACACUAUCAUUAACUGAAUCCAUAGGUUAAUGAGGCGAACCGGGGGAACUGAAACAUCUAAGUACCCCGAGGAAAAGAAAUCAACCGAGAUUCCCCCAGUAGCGGCGAGCGAACGGGGAGCAGCCCAGAGCCUGAAUCAGUGUGUGUGUUAGUGGAAGCGUCUGGAAAGGCGCGCGAUACAGGGUGACAGCCCCGUACACAAAAAUGCACAUACUGUGAGCUCGAUGAGUAGGGCGGGACACGUGGUAUCCUGUCUGAAUAUGGGGGGACCAUCCUCCAAGGCUAAAUACUCCUGACUGACCGAUAGUGAACCAGUACCGUGAGGGAAAGGCGAAAAGAACCCCGGCGAGGGGAGUGAAAAAGAACCUGAAACCGUGUACGUACAAGCAGUGGGAGCCUCUUUUAUGGGGUGACUGCGUACCUUUUGUAUAAUGGGUCAGCGACUUAUAUUCUGUAGCAAGGUUAACCGAAUAGGGGAGCCGAAGGGAAACCGAGUCUUAACUGGGCGUUAAGUUGCAGGGUAUAGACCCGAAACCCGGUGAUCUAGCCAUGGGCAGGUUGAAGGUUGGGUAACACUAACUGGAGGACCGAACCGACUAAUGUUGAAAAAUUAGCGGAUGACUUGUGGCUGGGGGUGAAAGGCCAAUCAAACCGGGAGAUAGCUGGUUCUCCCCGAAAGCUAUUUAGGUAGCGCCUCGUGAAUUCAUCUCCGGGGGUAGAGCACUGUUUCGGCAAGGGGGUCAUCCCGACUUACCAACCCGAUGCAAACUGCGAAUACCGGAGAAUGUUAUCACGGGAGACACACGGCGGGUGCUAACGUCCGUCGUGAAGAGGGAAACAACCCAGACCGCCAGCUAAGGUCCCAAAGUCAUGGUUAAGUGGGAAACGAUGUGGGAAGGCCCAGACAGCCAGGAUGUUGGCUUAGAAGCAGCCAUCAUUUAAAGAAAGCGUAAUAGCUCACUGGUCGAGUCGGCCUGCGCGGAAGAUGUAACGGGGCUAAACCAUGCACCGAAGCUGCGGCAGCGACACUAUGUGUUGUUGGGUAGGGGAGCGU